rnacentral:rRNA from 1 species
CCUACGGGCGGCAGCAGUGGGGAAUAUUGCACAAUGGGGGAAACCCUGAUGCAGCGACGCCGCGUGAAGGAAGAAGUCUUUCGGUAUGUAAACUUCUUUUAGUAGGGAAGAAAAUGACGGUACCUGACUAAUAAGCCCCGUCUAACUAGGUUCCAGCAGCCGCGGUAAUACGUAGGGGGCAAGCGUUAUCCGGAUUCACUGGGUGUAAAGGGAGCGUAGGCGGUUUAGCAAGUCAGAAGUGAAAGCCUGCGGCUCAACUCCAGAACUGCUUUUGAAACUGUUGACCUAGAGUGCAGGAGAGGUAAGUGGAAUUCCUGGUGUAGCGGUGAAAUGCGUAGAUAUUAGGAGGAACACCAGUGGCGAAGGCGGCUUACUGGACUGUAAAUGACGCUGAGGCUCGAAAGCGUGGGGAGCAAACAGGAUUAGAUACCCCAGUAGUC